GGGGCUGUAGCUCAUUGGUAGAGUGCCCUCCUUGCACGUGUGAGGCACUGGGUUUGAUCCUCAGCACCACA
rnacentral:tRNA from 1 species